GCAGUCCAUUUCUGUGGGGGCCUGAUUAUUUUAAAUUUGUACUUGAAGAUAACUAAGCACCUUACACCCAGCAGCAGAGCCUGAGAAGAUUUUGGAGAGUACCCUUUGUACAAAAGGUCAUCCCUCUGUGCAUGUUUCCCUCCUAUAUAUCUCCUUUGCCUAAUCACGCGCUGAUCAUGUGCCGUGCAUGUGAACUCAGAUAUCCCACACUGCCUAUGUCCGUGAACGCCUCAAAGAUGUGUAGGUCAGUUCAGAGCGUGGAGACAUCAGAUGAACGUUUCUGCAGUGUGUGCGUCCAUAAAACCGUGGAUGUUGUGGGUCCAGCUCGGACCUCGGGUCCAGUCCGGGAGUCGAGACACUCUGUGUCAGUUCCAUGGGUGCGGAGCUGGUCCAAGGGAACAAGCGGGGCGUGCUCCCCGGAGACCCGCACCACCGAGACACAGAGCCAGGAGAUGCGGAAUGUUUUGCCACCACCAUAGAGGCUGGCUCUUGCUGUUUCUGCUUUUAGAGGAGUAACAACUUUCAUCUCCAGUCUCUCUACCUGCAGCAAUAAAGGAUUCAUCAUGGCAACAACUUAAUGUAUAAUAGUUAGAUGCAG